rnacentral:lncRNA from 1 species
UCAUAACUUUCUUGUUUAUCAUUUUAGUCCAUACAAUUUAAUAUCUUUUAUAUAUUCUUAUAAAUUUAACUUUUACAUAUAAAUUUCAAUAAAUAUAUAAAUGAUUAAAUAAAAACAAAGCAUAAUAUUUUAAUAAUAUUAAACAAAUAUUAUACAAGACAAUAUUACAUCAAACAAGUUAAUACAAAAACUAAAAAUGCAUAAAAUAAAAUUACAUAAGCAAUAUUACAAUUAUACUAAUAUUCCGGUAAACCUGAUCCCGAACCUUCAAUAUCACUAAAAAGUUGUCCAUAAAAAGUUGGUGCAUUGGGAGGCUGUUGUUGUCCUCGAGUUCUUUUCUUUAUAAUUCUUUCUUGUUCAGAUCGAAUAAACUCACGAGUAGUAUGAUCACUGAUAGAUUCUAGGUUUGUUAACAACAUUUUAUUCUCUUCAUGCAUUUCUUUAAGGGCUAGUUUUUUUGCUUGGUUUUGCAUAUGUAGCUGAGUUAAUUCAAAAUUCUUCUCCCUAGCUGAUGCAUUUUCUUUUAAAAAACCAAUGACUUGUUCAUUUGAUGAAACCAAAGUGUCAACUGAAGAAUUGUUACCUUCUGAGAUUUUUCUUUUGAGUUUUGCUUUCUUUGAUCCAAUGGGACGCUGUGAUGAAUUUGAUCCACCAUCAUCACUACUUAAGUUGAUUGAAAAUGAAGACAAUCCCGGAGAUUGUGAUGUUGGAGAACAAAACACAACAAUUAUGUAUUUUUAAGUUUUUUAUUUAUAUGUAAUAUGCUAUUAAAAUGUAAUAGUUUAUUAAUAAAUGUUGUUUAAAAUAUUUUUGUUGUAUGAUUUUAGAUUAUAUAAAAGUUUUAUGCUUUUAUUUGAGGUUUGUAUAAUGCA